rnacentral:lncRNA from 1 species
CACCUAAGGACUUUUAAACCUCAAAGAUGAGGGUGGGAACAACAGAGAAGAACCUAUUAUUGGGCCACCUAUCAAGCAAAAAGAAAAUACAGCAAUACAAGGUCUCCAGAUUUGCCACCCAUGCUGAGUGCCGUGGUGUGAUCAUGGCUUAUUUCAACCUCAACCUCCCCCACUCAAGCGAUCCUCCUGCCUCAGCCUCUGGAGUAGCUGGGACUACAGGCACGCACCACCACACCCAGCCAUAAUUUGCCUCUUGCUGUAACUAAAAGGUCACAAAAACAAAGAAUUCUAAAAAAUCUUCUUCUUAAGUGGUAUGUUUAGUAUUUAUCAUGAUGACAAUGUUCUAAAUUGCACCUGCCUCCACUAGCAGAAUGCCAGGAUUACUGCCAGACAGAGAAUUCGGACUGCU